ensembl:lncRNA
UACACAUACAACGGAACAUUAUUUGGCCUUAAAAAGGAAGGAAAUUCUGACAUAUGCCACAGCAUGGAUGAACAUUGAGGACAUUAUGCUAAAAAAUAAGCCGGUCACAAGAAGGCAGAUACUGUAUGAUUCCACUUAUUUGAGUGAGACACUUAAGAGUAGUCGAAAUCACGGAGACAGAAAGUAGAAUGGUGAUUGCCAGGGGCCGGGGGAGGGAGAAAUGAGGAAUCAUUCUUUAAUGAGUAUAUUGUUUCAGUUUUGCAGGAUGAAAAGAGCUAUGAACAUGGAUGGUGGUGAUGGUUGCACAACAUUGUGAAAGUAUUAAAUACACUAAAUUUUACACUUAAAAAUGGCUAGGCUAGUAAAUUUUAUGUUACAUUUACUUUACCACAAUUUAAAAAACAGGAAAAAAAAGAUCAUUCAGAGAUCUGGGUACAAAGCAGAUUCUGAUUCAGUAGGUUGGGUGUGGCCUGAGACUCUGCUUUUCCAAGUUCCCAGGUAAUGCAGGUGCUGCUGGUCCACGGACCACACUUGGGUAACAUGGGAUUAGAGUACGUGAGAAAAGAAGGGUCAUCGUCUCCCAGAAUGCUGCUAGAUGGUGACACGAGAGAGGAAGGGAAUGACAAGCAACCAGCAGGGCUUGCUGGACUGUGGGAAGCAGGACCGAGUGAGCAGGCUUGCCUUGCUGUGCUGGAGGACCUCCCCUCCUCAGCAGGGCCUGUUCCCAGAGGUGAAAAUGGGCCCACUUAGACACAGGUGUGUGUCUGUGUAUUGUCAGCACCUGCAGGCAGAGAACGUCUCUGGGGCUGUGGCGUUUCCUCAUGCCCUCUGUUCUCAGAAAGCCCACACUGCAGGCUGCUGGCGAGAAGAUCUCAGGAAGCAGGUCCUGUGAAGAGGUUCAACCCAAUUUGCUUUCCUCAUGCUCCAGCGUUGACCUGGACACUGGAAUUGAGAAAGAAAUGGGAAGAAAAGGAGGACUCUGCAGAGGUGAAUGAGAGGCACAGACUUCUCAUUGUUUUGGAGGAAAACAGAAUGGUGUGGUAUCCCAGAAGCUAAGACAACAAAGGGUUUCAAGGAGGAAGAGAACAACUGCAUCAACACCAAAUGCUGCUGAGAGGUUCAGGAAGAACUGGACUGAUGAUCUCACACAGGCCUGAGGCUGUGGCCAAGGCAGGAAAAUGUGGGAAUGGCCUUUCUCUGAACGUUGACCUCUGUCACCUGCCAAGCACCUUAUGAUUUCCAGUUGUACCUCCUCACCAGCCUCGCUCAUAGAUAAGCCUUCCUAUCUUAGUAAUAAUUAAAUGUUCUUGUCCGAAACCAAUAAAGAAGCCAUGAGCUAACAUCUGCCGCCAAUCCUCCUCUUUUUUGCUGAGGAAGACUGACCCUGAGCUAACAUUUGUGCCCAUCUUCCUCUAUUUUGUAUGUGGGAUGCCUGCCACCGCAUGGUUUGAUAAGCAAUGUAUAGGUCCACACCUGGGAUCCAAAACGGCGAACCCUGGGCUGCCAAAGCAGAACGUGCAAACUUAACCACUGCACCACCGGGCUGGCCCCGCUUCAUAACACUCUUUGAGAAGCACAUGCUAGAAACCACUUCAAGGAGCAUCACUCAAGCAAUUAUUCACAGAGUCCCACUCGGGUGGCCACAAAGGAGGCGGGGCUCAGAAUCUGUGGAACAAUUGCUUUCAUACCUCACUGAAUCUGUGCAGAUGUGUUAUGGCCUCCAAAAUCCUGGCUGCAGGAAUAAGGCUGCAAUUUCAGACAUCCGCAGGCCAUUGCCUGAAGGAAGCCAAGCUUACAGCCUGUAAGUCUGUAAUAAGCUUUUUACCAUAAAGUGUUUGCUUCCACACUCCAGCUAUUUUGACAAGAACUAUCAUUUC